rnacentral:rRNA from 1 species
GUGGGGGGGCGUGCUUACACAUGCAAGUCGAGCGGUAAGGCCCCUUCGGGGGUACACGAGCGGCGAACGGGUGAGUAACACGUGAGCAACCUACCCUCAACUUUGGGAUAAGCCUCGGAAACGGGGUCUAAUACCGAAUAUCACUCCUUGUUUCAUGGCGGGGGGUUGAAAGUUCUGGCGGUUGGGGAUGGGCUCGCGGCCUAUCAGCUUGUUGGUGGGGUAAUGGCCUACCAAGGCGUCGACGGGUAGCCGGCCUGAGAGGGCGACCGGCCACACUGGGACUGAGACACGGCCCAGACUCCUACGGGAGGCAGCAGUGGGGAAUAUUGCGCAAUGGACGAAAGUCUGACGCAGCAACGCCGCGUGAGGGAUGACGGCCUUCGGGUUGUAAACCUCUUUCAGCAGGGACGAAGCGAGAGUGACGGUACCUGCAGAAGAAGGACCGGCCAACUACGUGCCAGCAGCCGCGGUAAUACGUAGGGUCCGAGCGUUGUCCGGAAUUAUUGGGCGUAAAGGGCUCGUAGGCGGUUCGUCACGUCGGGAGUGAAAACUCGGGGCUUAACCCCGAGCCUGCUUCCGAUACGGGCAGACUAGAGGUAGGCAGGGGAGAGCGGAACUCCUGGUGUAGCGGUGGAAUGCGCAGAUAUCAGGAAGAACACCGGUGGCGAAGGCGGCUCUCUGGGCCUUACCUGACGCUGAGGAGCGAAAGCGUGGGUAGCGAACAGGAUUAGAUACCCUGGUAGUCCACGCCGUAAACGUUGGGCGCUAGGUGUGGGGGACAUUCCACGUCCUCCGUGCCGCAGCUAACGCAUUAAGCGCCCCGCCUGGGGAGUACGGCCGCAAGGCUAAAACUCAAAGGAAUUGACGGGGGCCCGCACAAGCGGCGGAGCAUGCGGAUUAAUUCGAUGCAACGCGAAGAACCUUACCUGGUUUGACAUAUAGGGAAAUCUCCCAGAGAUGGGGGGGUCCGUAAGGGUCCUAUACAGGUGGUGCAUGGCUGUCGUCAGCCUCGUGUCGUGAGAUGUUGGUUAAGUCCCCGCAACGAGCGCAACCCUCGUCCUAUGUGCCAGCCACGUAUGGUGGGGACUCAUAGAGACUGCCGGGUCACCUCGGAGAAGGUGGGGAUGACGUCAAGUCAU